AGUUUAAUGUCUCUCUCUCUCUCUCUUCUCGUCCAGAGGUCACUAGUUUAAUGUCUUUGUCUCUCUCUCUUCUCGUCCAGAGGUCACUAGUUUAAUGUCUUUCUCUCUCUCUUCUCGUCCAGAGGUCACUAGUUUAAUGUCUUUGUCUCUCUCUCUUCUCGUCCAGAGGUCACUAGUUUAAUGUCUUUGUCUCUCUCUCUACUCGUCCAGAGGUCACUAGUUUAAUGUCUCUCUCUCUCUUCUCGUCCAGAGGUCACUAGUUUAAUGUCUUUGUCUCUCUCUCUCUUCUCGUCCAGAGGUCACUAGUUUAAUGUCUCUCUCUCUCUCUCUCUUCUCAUCCAGAGGUCACUAGUUUAAUGUCUUUGUCUCUCUCUCUUCUCGUCCAGAGGUCACUAGUUUAAUGUCUUUGUCUCUCUCUCUUCUCGUCCAGAGGUCACUAGUUUAAUGUCUUUGUCUCUCUCUCUUCUCGUCCAGAGGUCACUAGUUUAAUGUCUUUGUCUCUCUCUCUUCUCGUCCAGAGGUCACUAGUUUAAUGUCUUUGUCUCUCUCUCUUCUCGUCCAGAGGUCACUAGUUUAAUGUCUUUGUCUCUCUCUCUCUUCUCGUCCAGAGGUCACUAGUUUAAUGUCUUUGUCUCUCUCUUGUCGUCCAGAGGUCACUAGUUUAAUGUCUUUGUCUCUCUCUCUUCUCGUCCAGAGGUCACUAGUUUAAUGUCUUUAUCUCUCUCUCUUCUCGUCCAGAGGUCACUAGUUUAAUGUCUUUAUCUCUCUCUCUUCUCGUCCAGAGGUCACUAGUUUAAUGUCUUUGUCUCUCUCUCUUCUCGUCCAGAGGUCAGUAGUUUAAUGUCUUUAUCUCUCUCUUUUCUCGUCCAGAGGUCAGUAGUUUAAUGUCUUUAUCUCUCUCUCUUCUCGUCCAGAGGUCACUAGUUUAAUGUCUUUGUCUCUCUCUCUUCUCGUCCAGAGGUCACUAGUUUAAUGUCUUUGUC